rnacentral:rRNA from 1 species
CCAAUAGCGUAUAUUAAAGUUGUUGCAGUUAAAAAGCUCGUAGUUGAAUUUCGGGAUCAAUUUAUUGGUCGUGCUAUUGUACGUACUGGUAUUAUUGAUUCCUACCUUCUGACGAACCAUGAUGUCAUUAAUUUGGUGUCAUGGGGAAUCAGGACUGUUACUUUGAAAAAAUUAGAGUGUUUAAAGCAGGCUCACGCUUG